rnacentral:rRNA from 1 species
CCUACGGGUGGCUGCAGUGGGGAAUAUUGGACAAUGGGCGAAAGCCUGAUCCAGCCAUGCCGCGUGUGUGAAGAAGGCCUUCGGGUUGUAAAGCACUUUCAGUGGGGAAGAAAGCCUUGGGGCUAAUACCCUCGAGGAAGGACAUCACCCACAGAAGAAGCACCGGCUAACUCCGUGCCAGCAGCCGCGGUAAUACGGAGGGUGCGAGCGUUAAUCGGAAUUACUGGGCGUAAAGCGCGCGUAGGCGGUCUGAUAAGCCGGUUGUGAAAGCCACGGGCUCAACCUGGGAACGGCAUCCGGAACUGUCAGGCUAGAGUGCAGGAGAGGAAGGUAGAAUUCCCGGUGUAGCGGUGAAAUGCGUAGAGAUCGGGAGGAAUACCAGUGGCGAAGGCGGCCUUCUGGACUGACACUGACGCUGAGGUGCGAAAGCGUGGGUAGCAAACAGGAUUAGAUACCCUAGUAGUC